rnacentral:rRNA from 1 species
AUUGAACGCUGGCGGAAUGCUUUACACAUGCAAGUCGAGCGGCAGCGCGGCCUUCGGGCUGGCGGCGAGCGGCGAACGGGUGAGUAAUGCAUCGGAACAUGCCCAGUCGUGGGGGAUAACACUUCGAAAGAAGUGCUAAUACCGCAUACGUCCUGAGGGGGAAAGCGGGGGAUCGCAAGACCUCGCGCGAUUGGAGUGGCCGAUGUCAGAUUAGCUAGUUGGUGGGGUAAAGGCCUACCAAGGCGACGAUCUGUAGCUGGUCUGAGAGGAUGAUCAGCCACACUGGGACUGAGACACGGCCCAGACUCCUACGGGAGGCAGCAGUGGGGAAUUUUGGACAAUGGGGGCAACCCUGAUCCAGCCAUUCCGCGUGAGUGAAGAAGGCCUUCGGGUUGUAAAGCUCUUUCGGCAGGAACGAAACGGUGGGCUCUAACAUAGUCCGCUAAUGACGGUACCUGAAGAAGAAGCACCGGCGAACUACGU